UACGGGGGGUGCGAGCGUUGUUCGGAAUUAUUGGGCGUAAAGGGCGCGUAGGUGGCUGGGCAAGUCAAAGGUGAAAUCCCUCAGCUUAACUGAGGAACUGCCUUUGAAACUGCCCGGCUUGAGGCCGGGAGAGGGUAGCGGAAUUCCCAGUGUAGCGGUGAAAUGCGUAGAUAUUGGGAGGAAUACCGGUGGCGAAGGCGGCUCCCUGGACCGGUACUGACGCUGAGGCGCGAAAGCGUGGGUAGCAAACAGG
rnacentral:rRNA from 1 species